rnacentral:misc_RNA from 1 species
GAAAUGCGAUAAGUAAUGUGAAUUGCAGAUUUUCAGUGAAUCAUCGAAUCUUUGAACGCACCUUGCGCUCCUUGGUAUUCCGAGGAGCAUGCCUGUUUGAGUGUCAUUAAAUCAUCAACCCCACCGAUUUGUUUCGGCUUGGGGCUUGGACUUGGAGCGUGCUGGCGAAGGUCGGCUCCUCUUUAAAUGCAUCAGCGGAAGAACGCACCUUUUUUCCCUUCAGCGUGAUAAUCCUGUUGCGCUGUGUGUGGGUCGAAGGUGUUCCGCUUAUAAUCGUCCUUCGGACAAACGAACCCAUCUAUUUUUGACCUCAAAUCAGGUAGGACUACCCGCUGAACUUAA